AUUUAAGUAGUUUAAGCAAAAUAUUGAUUUGUGGUGUCAAAGAUGUGGAUUUAUCUAUUUUAAAUA
rnacentral:tRNA from 1 species